CCUACGGGUGACAGCAGUGAGGAAUAUUGGUCAAUGGCCGUAAGGCUGAACCAGCCAAGUAGCGUGAGGGACGACUGCCCUAUGGAUUGUAAACCUCUUUUGUGCGGGGAUAAAGUUGUCCACGUGUGCCUGUUUGCAGGUACCGCAUGAAUAAGCACCGGCUAAUUCCGUGCCAGCAGCCGCGGUAAUACGGAAGAUCCGAGCGUUAUCCGGAUUUAUUGGGUUUAAAGGGAGCGUAGAUGGGGUGUUAAGUCAGGUGUGAAAGUGUGCGGCUCAACCGUAAAAGUGCAGUUGAUACUGGCAGUCUUGAGUACAGUUGAGGUAGGCGGAAUUCGUGGUGUAGCGGUGAAAUGCUUAGAUAUUACGAAGAACUCCGAUUGCGAAGGCAGCAUACUAAACUGGAACUGACAUUGAGGCUCGAAAGCGUGGGUAUCAAACAGGAUUAGAUACCCGAGUAGUC
rnacentral:rRNA from 1 species